AUUGAACGCUGGCGGCAGGCCUAACACACGCAAGUCGAGCGAGCGGCGGACGGGUGAGCAAUUUAUGGGGAUUGCCCGCGAGAGGGGGAUCACUACUGGAAACGGUAGCUAAUCCCCCAUACUAUCGGAUAACCCAUAUGGGAUUAGCUAGUAGGUGGGGUAAUGGCUAACCUAGGCGCCGACCCCUAGCUGGUCGGAGAGGAUGAUCAGCCACACUGGGACUGAGACACGGCCCAGACUCCUACGGAGGCAGCAGUGGGGAAUAUUGCACAAUGGGCGCAAGCCUGAUGCAGCCAUGCCGCGUGUAUGAAGAAGGCCCUAGGGUUGUAAAGUACUUUCAGUAGGGAGGCGUUACCGACAGAGGAAGCACCGGCUAACUCCGUGCCAGCCGCCGCGGUAAUAC
rnacentral:rRNA from 1 species